UGUGAUCUGGGGGCUCAGCUGAGGAUAAGUCCGCCUUGUCACCACUGUCCUUCUCUUUCCCCCAG
ensembl:miRNA Mir7117 microRNA 7117